rnacentral:rRNA from 1 species
AUAAGCGGAGGAAAAGAAACUAACAAGGAUUCCCCUAGUAACGGCGAGUGAAGCGGGAAGAGCUCAAAUUUGAAAUCUGGUAGCCUUCGGCUGCCCGAGUUGUAAUCUAGAGAAGUGUUUUCCGUGCCGGCCCAUGUACAAGUCCCUUGGAACAGGGCGUCAUAGAGGGUGAGAAUCCCGUCCUUGACAUGGACCCCCGGUGCUUUGUGAUACACUUUCAACGAGUCGAGUUGUUUGGGAAUGCAGCUCAAAAUGGGUGGUGAAUUCCAUCUAAAGCUAAAUAUUGGCGAGAGACCGAUAGCGAACAAGUACCGUGAGGGAAAGAUGAAAAGCACUUUGGAAAGAGAGUUAAACAGUACGUGAAAUUGUUGAAAGGGAAACGAUUGAAGUCAGUCAUGCUCUUUGGAUUCAGCCGUUCUGCGGUGUAUUUCCAUUGAGUGGGGUCAACAUCAGUUUUGAUCGCUGGAUAAAGGCACUAGGAAGGUAGCACUCUCGGGUGAACUUAUAGCCUAGCGUCAUAUACAGUGAUUGGGACUGAGGAACGCAGCAUGCCUUUAUGGCCGGGAUUCGUCCACGUACAUGCUUAGGAUGUUGACAUAAUGGCUUUAAACGACC